AACGAACGCUGGCGGCAUGCCUAACACAUGCAAGUCGAACGAGACCUUCGGGUCUAGUGGCGCACGGGUGCGUAACGCGUGGGAACCUGCCCUUAGGUUCGGAAUAACUCCCCGAAAGGGGUGCUAAUACCGGAUAAUGUCUUCAGACCAAAGAUUUAUCGCCUUUGGAUGGGCCCGCGUUGGAUUAGCUAGUUGGUAGGGUAAAAGCCUACCAAGGCGACGAUCCAUAGCUGGUCUGAGAGGAUGAUCAGCCACACUGGGACUGAGACACGGCCCAGACUCCUACGGGAGGCAGCAGUGGGGAAUAUUGGACAAUGGGCGAAAGCCUGAUCCAGCAAUGCCGCGUGAGUGAUGAAGGCCUUAGGGUUGUAAAGCUCUUUUACCCGGGAUGAUAAUGACAGUACCGGGAGAAUAAGCUCCGGCUAACUCCGU
rnacentral:rRNA from 1 species